GGCUGGUCCGCCUCACCGCGUGCACUCGUCCGGCCGGGCCUUCCUUCUGAAGAACCUCAUGCCCUUCACUGGGCGUGUUGGGGAAUCAGGACUUUUACUUUGAAAAAAUUAGAGUGUUCAAAGCAGGCCUUUGCUCGAAUACGUUAGCAUGGAAUAAUAAAAUAGGGCGUGCGUUUCUAUUUUGUUGGUUUCUAGAGACGCCGCAAUGAUUAACAGGAACAGUCGGGGGCAUCAGUAUUCAGUUGUCAGAGGUGAAAUUCUUGGAUUUACUGAAGACUAACUACUGCGAAAGCAUUUGCCAAGGAUGUUUUCAUUAAUCAGUGAACGAAAGUUAGGGGAUCGAAGACGAUCAGAUACCGUCGUAGUCUUAACCGUAAACUAUGCCGACUAGGGAUCGGGCGAUGUUCUUUUUCUGACUCGCUCGGCACCUUACGAGAAAUCAAAGUUUUUGGGUUCUGGGGGGAUUAUG
rnacentral:rRNA from 1 species